rnacentral:rRNA from 1 species
UACGAAGGGGGCUAGGCGUUGCUCGGAAUUACUGGGCGUUAAAGCGCACGUAGGCGGAGCUCUUAAGUCGGUGGUGAAAUCCAUGGAGCUCAACUCCAGAACUGCCUUCGAUACUGGGAGUCUCGGAGUUCGGGAGAGGUGAGUGGAACUGCGAGUGUAGAGGUGAAAUUCGUAGAUAUUCGCGAAGAACACCCAGUGGCGAAGGCGGCUCACUGGCCCGAUACUGACGCUGAGGUGCGAAAGCGGUGGGGAGCGAACAGG